rnacentral:rRNA from 1 species
AGUGAACGCUGGCGGUAGGCCUAACACAUGCAAGUCGAACGGCAGCACAGUAAGAGCUUGCUCUUACGGGUGGCGAGUGGCGGACGGGUGAGGAAUACAUCGGAAUCUACUUUUUCGUGGGGGAUAACGUAGGGAAACUUACGCUAAUACCGCAUACGACCUACGGGUGAAAGCAGGGGAUCUUCGGACCUUGCGCGAUUGAAUGAGCCGAUGUCGGAUUAGCUAGUUGGCGGGGUAGAGGCCCACCAAGGCGACGAUCCGUAGCUGGUCUGAGAGGAUGAUCAGCCACACUGGAACUGAGACACGGUCCAGACUCCUACGGGAGGCAGCAGUGGGGAAUAUUGGACAAUGGGCGCAAGCCUGAUCCAGCCAUACCGCGUGGGUGAAGAAGGCCUUCGGGUUGGAAAGCCCUUUUGUUGGGAAAGAAAAGCAGCAGGUUAAUACCCCGCUGUUCUGACGGUACCCAAAGAAUAAGCACCGGCUAACUUCGUG